rnacentral:rRNA from 1 species
GAUGAACGCUAGCGGCAGGCUUAACACAUGCAAGUCGAGGGGUAUAAGAAGCUUGCUUUUUAGAGACCGGCGCACGGGUGCGUAACGCGUAUGCAAUCUACCUUUUACAGAGGGAUAGCCCAGAGAAAUUUGGAUUAAUACCUCAUAGUAUAUAUGAAUGGCAUCAUUUAUAUAUUAAAGUCACAACGGUAAAAGAUGAGCAUGCGUCCCAUUAGCUAGUUGGUAAGGUAACGGCUUACCAAGGCAACGAUGGGUAGGGGUCCUGAGAGGGAGAUCCCCCACACUGGUACUGAGACACGGACCAGACUCCUACGGGAGGCAGCAGUGAGGAAUAUUGGACAAUGGGCGCAAGCCUGAUCCAGCCAUGCCGCGUGCAGGAUGACGGUCCUAUGGAUUGUAAACUGCUUUUGUACAGGAAGAAACACUCGGACGUGUCCGAGCU